GGAUUAGAUACCCUGGUAGUCCACGCUGUAAACGAUGUCAACUAGCCGUUGGAUUCCUUGAGGGUUUAGUGGCGCAGCUAACGCGAUAAGUUGACCGCCUGGGGAGUACGGCCGCAAGGUUAAAACUCAAAUGAGUUGACGGGGGCCCGCACAAGCGGUGGAGCAUGUGGUUUAAUUCGACGCAACGCGAAGAACCUUACCAGGUCUUGACAUCCUGCGAACAUUCUAGAGAUAGAUUGGUGCCUUCGGGAGCGCAGUGACAGGUGCUGCAUGGCUGUCGUCAGCUCGUGCCG
rnacentral:rRNA from 1 species